GCCUUUUUAGCUUAGUUGGUAGAGCACCCGCUUAGUAAGCGGGAGGUCGUCGGUUCAACUCCGGCAGAAGGCU
rfam:Perkinsus marinus ATCC 50983 gcontig_1104296596430, whole genome shotgun sequence.